rnacentral:misc_RNA from 1 species
CGCCGUUUCUCGAUCCAAGCAACAGCGACAACAUGCAUGGCGAUGGCGGCACCGUGACCAUGACUCCAUGAGGUUAACUGCAGAUAGAUCGAGAGCACUUGAGCACUACACCUUCUGUGCAGCGGUGGGCCCAGCAGCGUGGCCGUGGCCGCCGACGGACGCCAGGGCGCUCUUCACCGUCAUGGCGACGCGGCAGCCCCGGAGCGCCCGGAAGCUCUCGUGGCGCACGCUGAAGCACAUCGGCGCCGCCGCCUGCUCCUCCUCCUCCUCCUCGCUGCCGUCCACGUCCGCGGCCGAGAACGCGAACACCCGGCUCCGCCUCGACGACGAGCUGCACGCGGCGGGCGACCGCGCGCUGCGGAACGACAGCGACGACGCGGCCGAGGAGGCGAGCGCCGCAGACCACGAGGAGGAGGAGGAGCGGGAGGACGCGGAGCGCGACGAGGCCGGCCUGGACGACCGCCUGUGCAGGAUCAUCUUGGGCAGGAUGGCGCUGAAGACGCUGGUGUAAUAAUGCUUGGACAGCUUCUUGUUCUUGCCGGUGGCGACCGUGGCGGAGGAGGUCUGCCGCUGCUGCCUGGCGGUGUAGUAGGACGACGGCGGCGGCGUGAGCGGCGGCUGCAGGGUGGCCGUGGCGACGGCGUCGUCGUCGUGCUUGGGCGUGCCCGGCUGCGACUCCCACAGGAAGGGCACGGAGCCCGCCGAGGCGACGCCGUAGUACACCCGCAAGGACGGCGCCGCCGCGGAGCUCUCCCUGGUGAACAGCCUGGAGAACACCUUGCUCUCCCCUUGCUUCGGCUGGGGAGCCGCAGCCGCCUCCUCCUUGUCCUUGCUGGUGAUGGCUGGGGCUGCCAUGGAGGCUGGAGCGAGGUGAUGCGAGCGGGGAUCGGCAGGGAAGAAGAGAGAACGGCGAGGUCAGGACUCAGGACGUACAGGAGGACACUCAGGGUGUGCAGCAAGUGCUUUUAUGCACCUCCAGAGACAGACCACAGGGGAUGCUACUGUAGCUCAAUUCUGUUAUUGUACCGCGCCAUUUGCUUGGUUCUUUAACGGCUAAUUAUCUGUUGUAAACUCUGAUCAGAUUCAGAUCCCAGGAAGC